GGCUGGUUAGCUCAGUUGGUUAGAGUGUGGUGCUAAUAAUGCCAAGGUCGAGGGUUUGAGCCCCAUAUUGGCCA